UUUCCUAGCCAUCGUCUGCAUUUGUGCAGCACUCUCAUUUACUUAGACUGAGCAGUGGUCGGCACCAUUUUGCAUGUUUUUAUUUUCCCCAUUUUCCAGAAUAAGAUGCAGACCAAAGAGUUAAUCACUUUCCUGAGGAUGCAGGACUCAGCUUUUCUGAUGCAGGCCCCAUAUUCUUUCUGCUCUGGUGCAGCCCCCUCCUAGCUUUCGUCAACCCAUGCUGAGACCAGAGCUCCAGGAUGAGAAGGAUACUCACACAGUGGCUGCCCUGCCCAGGGCUGUACCACAGGCUCUUGGCCCAGGAUCUCUGAUCUCUGCUAAGCCUGAACUACAACAAACAGCUCAGGAAAGCAACACAGAAGCAAGCCCUGGACCCUGAGAGAAGAAAGUUCUUGUACCAAGGUUGGAUCUGGCCCACACAGGAGGGACAGAGACUGGAGGGAAGGAGCUAACAAGAUGAGAGAGGCCAGGCUUGUCCAUGAAUGGCUCCAUCAAGUGUUGAUCGGCGUGGGCACUGAGACCUUCCUCCAGGGCCAGUUCAAAAGCCUGGCUUUCUAUCUGCUGUUUACAGGAGCCGCUGUCUCCAUAUGUGAAGGGGCCUACUUUGUGGCUCAGCUGCUGGCCAUCUGCUUCCAGUGUCAACCAGGGUCCCUGGCAGACAGAGUAAGGGAGAAAGCCCACUGGCUGGGCUGCUUCCAGAAGUUCCUGGCCUACCUGCUGCUGUCGGUGGCCUGCUUCCUCCACCCGGUCCUGGUCUGGCACGUGACCAUCCCAGUAUGAGCUUCUGGAAAGCUUGCAUAGUCUCAGGACAGGGAUCUGGAGGAAAUGGGGAGCAUCAGAACCACAGAAGGUUGUACUGGGAAUAACUGGGGCAGGAGCAAAAGCCCAUCCAAGCAGAUGUUUACCACCUCAUUGAUAUGGAAGACUCUGUGCUUCUACCUGAGGCUGCACACGCUCCGCCAGGGGUGAGGAUGCCACCAGCCCACUAUAGCUUCAGUUUCCAGCUUCCAGGAAACUGGAUGAGAUGUUAUCAACUCACAGCAGUUACAACGCCCAUUAAUAAUAAUCAGCUUACCAGGAGCCCCACACUCUCUGUGCCCCACAGGAGAACAGCCCAAGGCAAAGGACUCAAAAAUCUAAAUGACAUCUCAACAACAUGUGAUUGUACCCAGGCAUUUCCCCCUGGGAGCACCAAAGGGAAGAAGGUAAUUUUUCGGUCUUUUGGAAGCUGUGCCCUGGUGCCAAGAUGCCUCAAGCCAAAACCACACAGAGCAGCCUGCCUGACAGAUGGGCCCAGUAGCCUUUAUCAAGCUCUUAGGCUCUUAUGAGCUUCCCUACUUGCGAAUUAAACAU
rnacentral:lncRNA from 1 species